GCUUCCUUCUCCCUCCGGCCGUCGCCUCUCUGUCUCUCCCCCCCCAGCUCUGAUCCGCCGCCCUCCUCCGUGGCCCCUUCAAGGGCCCGCUCUCGGCCAACGGCUCGCAUCGAAGCUGGCCGGGGCCAGAUCCAGCUGCGGUGGAGAUGGAGAAGGUGUUCAAGCUCUUCUUCGUCCCCGUCUGGCGGUGGCCCAAGAAGGACUCCGUCUGCCUCUACCGCGAGUGCAGCCUCCUCGCACCGGGUUCCCUUGGUGCCGAGCCGAGCCCGUCGCUGCUGCCCCGGGAGGAGUUGUGGCUCUGGGAGCUGCGUCGGCCUGCAGGUAAUUCCGAGAGCGAUAGGCAGUUGUUCCUCCGUUACAUCUGUAUAGCCGCGUACUGUGCGAGUAGUUCUAGACUCCACUUUUCUCGUUGUCCAGAUCUGCAGUACUUGAUUAGCCCUGGAUGUGGGGUGUUGCUUCAUUUUUUCCUGUUGUUCAGAUCUGCAUUAGGCUAGUGCUAGACUGCUAGUAGCUUGUAGUUUUUUUUAUUGGAUAACAUGUCGCCUUGAAUCUUCUUUUUAGGUUCGUAAUAACCUGUCUUCCUUUGUCGGUUUAAGGACAGUUAACUACUAGCAUGUUGAGCCCUAUUUUAUACGACAUGCUGUUAAGUAUUUCUUUGCUCCUACAUUAUUAUGCAUUAGCUAUUUAGCUGAUCCCUGCAGGGUGUAUUAGAAAUAUUGUUACAGUAUCUUUUACCUGCAAGCACCUCUUUGUGAUAACUCACUAUAUCCGUUGACCAAUAUAGAUAGGUUUGGACUCAGUUACAAGAAUGAGUGCUGAUUCAACACUGUACUGAAUGCCUUUUUUCUUCAAUAAUGCAUUUGCCAAAACAUGAUGCUGUAAGAAGUUUCUGAAUAUUUGAACCUUUUUUGUCCUUCUCACAUAUGUGUUGAUGUUGAAUGUUAAGCUCACAGUUUACUAUCAUGCUAUUAUUUCAUAAAUCUGCAAACUCAACUACACCUCUAGUAUUCUGUACUGACUGACCUGCUAUCUAAUUUAAGCAUGCAUGUUCCUUGGUAAUUUAAUAGCUUGGCUGAUAAAUAUAUGUAUUGAUCUGCUUACUACAUGCAUCACAAAUAAAUGUAGGGAUCUGUUUGUUACAAGCAUUCCCUGAAUGUCUAUUGCAUUAUAGUAUGCUUCCCUCAGCAGCUAUCAUCUUUUCUAGCUUAAUCUCUUGUAGUGUUCAUUGGUGAUUUCUUAGCGCUCGAUCUACGCAUUCUUGGUCUGUUCUUGAUCUAUUAGGACUUGAUCUGUUAGUUAUGGAAUUGUUAAUUCUUGAUCUGUUAGUUCUCAAUCUAUCAGUAAUUAAUUAAUAUUAGUUGUGACAAUUGAUUAGUAGUGUGCUUGAUCUGUGAGACACUGGCAAUAGAAAUUAGUUCAUGACCCGUUAGCUUUGCUAGUACCUGUGCUGUUUGCUUUGCUAGUACCUGUGAUGUUAGCUUUGCUGAAUCUGCUAAUUUUCUUGCACACAACUUGAGCAAGCUUUGGUUGAUAGCAGAGGUGAACUAAUAGCCUACUGUCACGAGGUAAGAUGAACUAGUACCUGUGCUGUUAGCUUUACUGCACAUAGAUAGGACUCUUACUAGCUGUGAGUCUAUUUGGUUGCACUUUGCUCUAAUAAUGUCUAUUUUUUUUGUGAUUUCUACUCUGGAUGGCUAGAUGCCUUAUGUUGCUGUCAUAUUGAGCUGAGGGGAAUUUGUGGUGCCUUGUGCAAAUUCACUUGGGAGUACCAGCGAGCUCAAGCCCCCGUGAUGUUCUUGGGAAUUCACUUGGGAGUACCAGAUUGAUGCAACGUCAGCUACCUUCAGUUUUACUUUAUUUACCAGAUCGCUUGGGAGUGGAGGAAAAAUGCUGCUAGACUACUGCUAAUUGUGGGAUAUGUAAAUGUAAUUAAACUCUGUACUCCAUGAAUCCAUACUUAGUUCUUGUUUAAUUGGUUGCAAUGUUGUUUAUAUGGGCUUUAUUGCUUGUUU